AUUGAACGCUGGCGGCAUGCUUUACACAUGCAAGUCGAACGGUAACAGGCCUUCGGGUGCUGACGAGUGGCGAACGGGUGAGUAAUGCAUCGGAACGUACCCAGAGGUGGGGGAUAACGCAGCGAAAGCUGUGCUAAUACCGCAUGUGAUCUGAGGAUGAAAUCGGGGGACCGAGCAGCAAUGUUUGGCCUCGCGCCUUUGGAGCGGCCGAUGUCGGAUUAGCUAGUUGGGGGGGUAAAGGCCUACCAAGGCGACGAUCCGUAGCUGGUCUGAGAGGACGACCAGCCACACUGGGACUGAGACACGGCCCAGACUCCUACGGGAGGCAGCAGUGGGGAAUUUUGGACAAUGGGCGCAAGCCUGAUCCAGCAAUGCCGCGUGCGGGAAGAAGGCCUUCGGGUUGUAAACCGCUUUUGGCAGGAACGAAACGGUGUCCGCUAAUACCGGGCGCUAAUGACGGUACCUGCAGAAUAAGCACCGGCUAACUACGUG
rnacentral:rRNA from 1 species